rnacentral:rRNA from 1 species
GUGAACGCUGGCGGUAGGCCUAACACAUGCAAGGCGAACGGCAGCACAGUAAGAGCUUGCUCUUACGGGUGGCGAGUGGCGGACGGGUGAGGAAUACAUCGGAAUCUACUUUUUCGUGGGGGAUAACGUAGGGAAACUUACUCUAAUACCGCAUACGACCUACGGGUGAAAGCAGGGGAUCUUCGGACCUUGCGCGAUUGAAUGAGCCGAUGUCGGAUUAGCUAGUUGGCGGGGUAAAGGCCCACCAAGGCGACGAUCCGUAGCUGGUCUGAGAGGAUGAUCAGCCACACUGGAACUGAGACACGGUCCAGACUCCUACGGGAGGCAGCAGUGGGGAAUAUUCGACAAUGGGCGCAAGCCUGAUCCAGCCAUACCGCGUGGGUGAAGAAGGCCUUCGGGUUGUAAAGCCCUUUUGUUGGGAAAGAAAAGCAGCAGGUUAAUCCCCCGCUGUUCUGACGGUACCCAAAGAAUAAGCACCGGCUAACUUCGUG